CAACCAUGAUGAAGAAAAUCAGGUCAGGAUAAACAACAGUAUGGGUAUACUACAAACCCCCAAAAAAUUGCCCAUUCAACACCUUUAUAUAUUCUAAUAUUUUCAAUCCCAUCCUCCAAAAGAAAAAAAAACAAUUAGCCAUUUUUAUGGCCUCCAAAAUCUUUCAAUGGCACUUCACCAUCCUCAACCACACCAACAUGAUCCACUCACACACUAGAGGCCUUUUCCUCUUGCUGAUCUUUUUCUCUUUACUUUUUCUCAUCACCACUCUCUUCCUUUGUGCUCAUUGGGUGUAUAGCCACUGUCUCCUCUCAACAGCUGCUGCGAUGGCUAAUGCAACACCACCAGGGGUGUUUGAAGAAGAAGAGAUGGUGAAGGUCUUGCCACAAUGUAACCAUGUCUAUCAUUCUCAGUGUGUUGAUAAGUGGCUCGGUUCUCAAUCAAGCUGCCCGCUAUGUAGAGCUUGUUUGAAUCCAUUCACUUCUCCAUUACAAUGAAAGUCAAAUUACUCGGACACGGUUGUGAGUAUCCCAUAUAAUAUUGUUUGAAUUUUUUUCUAUUUUUUUAUAUAUUUAGAGGAUCUUUAAAGAUCGUAUUCGUACUUGAUCCAGACAUGAUUAAUACUUAACAAGAAUGAAUGUUCAGAAUAGCCAACUAGAGAGAUAAGGAAAAUCAAGUGAUCAUUGAUGGCAUAGUCAUCACUCAAAUUUAUUUUUUUUUCAUUUGUGUGUGAGGCCCUUUGAGCAACUUACAUCAUUAUCUUCUUUUCUUUUGGCUUAGAUCAAAGAUUGAUAUUAUUUA